AAAAGACAAGAUUGAUGGACAUUGACCCUCCAGGAUGUGGAAAUGAGCAGCUACAGCCAGACGGGAAUUGGUGGAAACAAGUGGAAAAGACAAGACUGAUGGACAUUGACCCUCCAGGAUGUGGAAAUCAGCAGCUACAGCCAGACAGGAAUUGGUGGAAACAAGUGGAAAAGACAAGAUUAAUGGACAUUGACCCUUCAGGAUGUGGAAAUGAGCAACUACAGCCAGAUAGGAAUUGGUGGAAACAAGUGUAAAAGACAAGAAUGGUGGACAUUGACUCUCCAGAAUUUGGAAAUCAGCAGCUACAACCAGACAGGAAAUGGUGGAAUCAAAUGGAAAAUAUGUGACUGAUAGAUGUUGACUCUCCAAGAUGUGGAAAUGAACAGCUACAGCCAGACAGGAAUUUGUGGAAACAAGUGGAAAAGACAAGACUGAUGGACAGUGACCCUCCAGGAUGUGGAAAAGAGUAAUUACAGCCAGACAGGAAUUGGUGGAAACAACUGGGAAAGAAGAGACUGAAGGACAUCGACCUUCCCAACAGCAAGACAUAUCAAAGUAGAUAACUGUCACUGAUCAGUGUGCUUUGAUGAUUUGGUGACAGUACCCAGUAGGAGACUCAGAUAAAGUCAUGUGGAUGUGCUUGACAUGAAUGACAAGGAACCCUCAGAAACUGUGAAAUGUAAGAUGUGGAAAUGAGCAGCUAUAGCCAAACAGGAAUUGGUGGAAAACCUAGAAAAUGCAAGAUUGAUGGAUGUUGACCCUUCAAGAUGUUAAAAUGAGCAGCUACAGCUAGACAGGAAUUGGUGGAAAUACUUAGAAAAGUCAAGACUGAUGGAUGAUGACCUUCUCAACAGUAGGACUUACCAAAGUGGAUAACUGUCACUGAUCAGUGGGCUUUGAUGUUUUCUGUGACAGUACCCUGUAGGAGACUCAGAUAAAGUCAUGUGGAUGUGCUUGACAUUAUGAAUGACAAGGAUCGAUCGCCUCAGAAAAUAAAAGUAUUGAAGAGGCAUAUCCUUGUGAUCAUGUUUGGAAAAAGACAAAGAAAGAUGACAAUGCAGAAAGCCAGAUCUGUGAAGUACACACAAGCACAUUCAGUUUACAAUGUUAUAAUUUGUUAUUAUCCAGAACAUAUUUUUUUGAGAAAUUUGUUUUGGAAAUGGGUGUCUGAGUUGUAAGAGGGUAUGGGGUCACCCACUCUGACACGUGGGUUUUCUCCGGGUGCUCCGGUUUCCUCCCACACUGACCCCCACUUUUUUCUCUAUGUCAAAGAGAUAAUUGUGCUAUUUUUAUCAUUUUAUGUAGAUAUCUUUUAUCAUCUAUCAUUAUUUUGCUAUAAUGUUAUAUCGUCUAUAAAAUUGUUUAGAUGAAGUAGUUGAAGGCUAGUUGUAAGUAGACCUUGUCGAUACCCUGGGGCAUUACUGGUUGGAACUUCUUGGGUCCUUCGCCGCUACGGUUGCCAGGCUGGCCUGGGGAGGAGGGGUUGAAAACAUGACUAGUUGUAGGCUCCUUUGUCUUUCAAAAAUCUAAAAUCUUUCUUUUUAUCUUAUCCAACAUCAAAAAAAUUAUGUGUAAAUGUUACAGAAGAAGUGAUUUUUAUAUAUCAUAUUAUUAUUCCUGGAAUGUACAACUACUUAUUAAAAAGUGAGGGUGGAUAUAGUGACUCUGAAUUUAUUGUGUAAUUGAAUAUAUAUACAAUGUGCAUUACUGAGGUGACUAGAUAUAUUGUAAUUGUUAAGUACAGAUUUAUUUAGCUUAUGUAGUUAGUAUGUAUAGUUGACAGAGAUCGACUUAAUGAAUUUAUUGUUCAAAUGAGUAUAUAUGCAAUGUAUUAUUGAUGUGACUGUGGAUAUAAAGUGAUAGUAAAUGUUAAAUUGUGAUUACCGUAGUGUGUACACAUUUACUUAAGCUAUUGUAAUAAGGUGGUUAAUGGUGACUAAGGAUUUAUUGUGUUAUUGAAUGUAUAUCAGCAUGUAUUGAUGUGACUAAAUAUGCAGUGAUAGUACAUGUAAAUGUUAAAGUGUAUAAGUAGUAAUGUUAAUUGUGACAGUGAAUGAUAAAUUGUGAAUAGUUAUGCAGUGAUAGUACAUGUAAAUGUUAGAAGUAAAUGUUAAAUUGUGACAGUGAACAAUGAAUUGUGACUAGUGUAAUGUUAAAUUGUCUGAUCUCAUUGGCCAAAGUUUUGCACAAAAAAAUGAAAAACAAACCAA